GGAAAGAUGACUCAGUGGUAGAGUGCUUGCCUUGCAUGCAUGAGGUCCUGGGUUCGAUUCCUUAGCACCA
rnacentral:tRNA from 1 species